AGAGUUUGAUCCUGGCUCAGGACGAACGCUGGCGGCGUGCCUAACACAUGCAAGUCGAACGGAGUGAAGUGCUUCAGUAUUUCACUUAGUGGCGAACGGGUGAGUAACGCGUGAGGAACCUGCCUUUCAGUGGGGGACAACAGUUGGAAACGACUGCUAAUACCGCAUGAAACUUUCUGGGGACAUCCCUGGGAAGUCAAAGCUUUAUGUGCUGAAAGAUGGUCUCGCGUCUGAUUAGCUGGUUGGCGGGGUAACGGCCCACCAAGGCGACGAUCAGUAGCCGGUCUGAGAGGAUGAACGGCCACAUUGGGACUGAGAUACGGCCCAGACUCCUACGGGAGGCAGCAGUGGGGAAUAUUGGGCAAUGGGCGAAAGCCUGACCCAGCAACGCCGCGUGAAGGAAGAAGGCCUUCGGGUUGUAAACUUCUUUUAGCAGGGACGAAGGACGUGACGGUACCUGCAGAAAAAGCAACGGCUAACUACGUGCCAGCAGCCGCGGUAAUACGUAGGUUGCAAGCGUUGUCCGGAUUUACUGGGUGUAAAGGGCGUGUAGGCGGAGCUGCAAGUCAGAUGUGAAAUCCCGGGGCUCAACCCCGGAACUGCAUUUGAAACUGUAGCCCUUGAGUAUCGGAGAGGCAAGCGGAAUUCCUAGUGUAGCGGUGAAAUGCGUAGAUAUUAGGAGGAACACCAGUGGCGAAGGCGGCUUGCUGGACGACAACUGACGCUGAGGCGCGAAAGCGUGGGGAGCAUACAGUAUUAGAUACUCUGGUAGUCCACGCUGUAAACGAUGUAUACUAGGUAUGGGAGGACUGACCCAUUCCGUGCCGCAGUUAACACAAUAAGUAUUCCACCUGGGGAGUACGACCGCAAGGUUGAAACUCAAAGGAAUUGACGGGGGCCCGCACAAGCAGUGGAUUAUGUGGUUUAAUUCGACGCAACGCGCAGAACCUUACCAGGACUUGACAUCCCACUAACGAAGCAGAGAUGCAUUAGGUGCCCUUCGGGGAAAGUUGAGACAGCUGGUGCAUGGUAGUCGUCAGCUCGUCUCGUAAGAUGUUGGGUUAAGUCCUGCAACGAGCGCAACCCCUAUUGUUAGUUGCUACGAAAGAGCACUUUAGCGAGACUGCCGUUGACAACACCGGAGGAAGACGGGGACGACGUCAAAUCAUCAUGCCCCUUAUGUCCUGGGCUACACACGUAAUACAAUGCCGGUUAACAUGAGGGAAGCAAAGCCGUGAGGUGGAGCAAAUCCCUAAAAGCCGUCUCAGUUCGGAUUACAGGCAACUAAUCGCCGGCAUGAAGCUGGNAUUGCUAGUAAUCGCGGAUCAGCAUGCCUCGGUGNAUACGUUCCCG
rnacentral:rRNA from 1 species